rnacentral:rRNA from 1 species
CAUCGAUGAAGAACGCAGCGAAUUGCGAAAAGUAAUGUGAAUUGCAGAAUUCCGUGAAUCAUCGAAUCUUUGAACGCACAUUGCGCUCUCUGGUAUUCCGGGGAGCAUGCCUGUUUGAGUAUCAGUUAACUAUUCUCAAGCUACAUUCUUUUAAAGAGUGCGGCAUGGAAUUGAGUUAUCCCGGUACGAGUGCCUCGGCACUGCAACUGGGAGACUUGAAACUGAUAUCGCGGGAGCAGUGGUCAUUAAGGAUCAGCUCUUUGUAGGUGUACUAGUUGGAGGCGUCGCAAGACGUUUUCAUUCUUAACACCAUUACGCAAGGUUCGGAUCUGACAACUGCAGCCAACGAACGCAGGAACGCGAGUCUUCGGACUUCAACUUCUUGAUCUCAAAUCAGGUAGGAUUACCCGCUGAAGUCAUAGCUGUUUCCUGCUGUAGUCGUUCGUAGUCGGCGGUCGUCGACGACGGCGCUAGUAG